GGCGGCGAGAAUUUUGACUUGCCUUUUACUACUGGUUCUGGGGAAAACUGCAAAUAAUCAGCCAUCACAGAGUGACCCUCAAGGAGAUUGUUCUUUCCACAGGGCAUGGGGCAGAUAUCAGUGUCUCUGGAGUAAGCUAAAGGCCCGCGUUUGCAGUCCAAGAAUGCAGAAGAAGAUGUGCUCUGAUUGGAUAAUGAAUUACAUGAUCCAGCUACUUCCAGCUCUGGAAGCUGUAGUUCCUGGGUACACCCUUUGGUCAGAUCUUCCAGCUGUUCUACAGUGAAUUUAUUUACUUGAGGGAAAGAUCAUUUCUAGGGGCAGGUGCCAGUUCACUGGAAUACAGGCAGAUUGGCCUUGCUCAAAGCCAGCUCCUUGAAAACUUCGCAGUUGAUCUAAGAGUUCAUUUGUUUGAUCUUGAAACUUUAAACUCUUGAUCCAACAAGUACCAAAAACUGCCCCUGAUAUGUCAUACAGAGAAGCGUCACCUUUCACCAUCACUGUUGGGAGGCAGAAAGUACCAAAAUCAGGAGGACUGGACGUGCCCCUGACCAUCAACAACCUUGCCAAAGCUGGAACCACUUUGCUACUUCACAGCUCUUCAGAAAGCAUUCUGGGAAUUAUGAACUGAAGAUAUAAACACGUUAGAUUUCAGUGGAGGGUGAUGUCCCCACGACUUCCCUUUCCUGAGAAUGGAGAAGUAUGUGGGUUUCUUCUUCUCUCCCCACUAAGUUUGUUCAAGUUCCUCUGGACAGUGUAAACGUACUUUCUUACUUUACAAAACACACUGAGGUAAGUUCCCAAUCCAUUCCAAAGACUACAGCUAUUGAAAAGACCUGCUUUAUGUGUUAGAAGCUGGAUUUGAGCUACUUGAUUCCAUCGCAACAUGUUUAUAUUAUAUACUGCUAAUAUUAUUUUAAUUUUGUUUAUCUUUAAUAUUUUUUAUUUUAUCCUCCCUUGUCUGUGAAGUUGAGGUGAGUCUGAAUUCAGCUUUGUCAAGUACAGACUAGUCUUUUAGAAACCAUCAUAAUGAGUUUGGCAUAGUGACACACAUCUGUAAUCUCAGCAUUCUAGGAGGCUGAGG